rnacentral:rRNA from 1 species
GACGAACGCUGGCGGCGUGCUUAACACAUGCAAGUCGAACGGAAAGGCCCUGCUUGCAGGGUACUCGAGUGGCGAACGGGUGAGUAACACGUGGGUGAUCUGCCCUGCACUUCGGGAUAAGCUUGGGAAACUGGGUCUAAUACCGGAUAGGAGCCAUCUUUAGUGUGGUGGUUGGAAAGUUUUUUCGGUGUAGGAUGAGCUCGCGGCCUAUCAGCUUGUUGGUGGGGUAAUGGCCUACCAAGGCGGCGACGGGUAGCCGGCCUGAGAGGGUGUACGGCCACAUUGGGACUGAGAUACGGCCCAGACUCCUACGGGAGGCAGCAGGGGGGAAUAUUGCACAAUGGGCGCAAGCCUGAUGCAGCGACGCCGCGUGGGGGAUGAAGGCCUUCGGGUUGUAAACUCCUUUCGCUAGGGACGAAGCGUUGUUGUGACGGUACCUAGAUAAGAAGCACCGGCUAACUACGUG